GAUGAACGCUGGCGGCGUGCCUAAUACAUGCAAGUCGAGCGAACAGACGAGGAGCUUGCUCCUCUGACGUUAGCGGCGGACGGGUGGGUAACACGUGGAUAACCUACCUAUAAGACUGGGAUAACUUCGGGAAACCGGAGCUAAUACCGGAUAAUAUAUUGAACCGCAUGGUUCAAUAGUGAAAGACGGUUUUGCUGUCACUUAUAGAUGGAUCCGCGCCGCAUUAGCUAGUUGGUAAGGUAACGGCUUACCAAGGCAACGAUGCGUAGCCGACCUGAGAGGAUAGCGGCCACACUUGGAAAGGAGACCCGGCCCAGCCCCCUGCGGGAGGCAGAAGUGGGGAAUAUCCGAGAAGGGGCGAAAGCCUGACGGAGCAAUGCGGGGGGGGUGAAGAAGGUCUUCGGAUCGAAAAACUUUUUUAUUAGGGAAAAAAAAAUGUGAAAGAAAAAAUGCCGGUUUUGACGUUACCAAAAAAAAAAGCCACGGCUAACUACGUG
rnacentral:rRNA from 1 species